GUGUGUUUCUGUACAGUGCAGUGAUCACAGUGUGCAUAUGAAUGUGUGUUCCUUUAGAAUCCAGACAACAUUGGGCAUUUGAAUGUGUGUUUCUGUACAUGAAGUAUGACAGUGGGCAUUGGAAUAUGUGUUUCUGUAGAGUAUAGGAUACGUGUGGGUAUGUAAAUAUGUGUUUCUGUAGAGUGCAAUGAUGGCAGUGCGCAUGUGAGUUUGUGUUUCUCUAGAGGGUACGAUGUCUGUUUGUUUGUGAAAAUGGGUUUCAGUAGAGUGCAGGACAGCAGUGGACAAUUAAAUGUCUGUUUCUGUAGAGUGCAGUAUGUAGUGGGGAUAUGAAUGUGUGUUUCUGUAGAAUGCUAGAUAAGAGUGGGCAUUUGAAUGUGUGUUUCUCUAGAGUGUAAUAUUACAGAGUUCCUGUGAAUACCUUUGUAGAGUGCAAUAAUGGUAUUGGCCAUCUGAAUAUGUAUUUUUGUGCAGUGCAGUAUGCAGUGAGUAUGUGAAUGUGUAUUUCUUUAGUAUGAAGUAAAGCAGAUUGCAUGGAUAUGUGUGUUUCUGUACAGUGAAGGACAUCAGUGAGUAUGGGAAUGUUUGUUUCUAUUUAGUGUAGGAUAGGAGUAGGUAUGUCCAUUGUGUUUCUAUAGAGUGCCGUUAUGGCAGUGAGAAUGAUAAUGUCUGUUUCUGUAGAGGGCAGUGAUGGCAGUGGGCAUCUUAAUGUGAGUUUCUGUAGAAUGCAGGGUAGCAGUAGGCAAUUGAAUGUGUGUUUCUGUAGAGUGCAGUAUAUAGUGGGCAUAUGAAUGUGUGUUUCUGUAGAGAGGAGGAUGGAAGAGGGCAUGUGAAUAUGUAGAGUACAGGAUGGCAGUCGUAUGGGAAUGUGUGUUUCUAUGGAGUAUAGAAUAGGAGUUGGUAUGUGAAUUUUUGUUUUUGUAGAGUGCAGUGAUGUCAGUGGGCAUGAGAGUGUGUAUUUCCUUAGAGUGUAGGAUGGUUGUUUGCGGGAACAAGUGUGUUUCUAUAUAGUAAAGUACAUAAGUGGGGAUUUGAAAGUGUCUUUCUGUAGAGGGCAGGUUGGUAGUGAAAUUUAGAAUAUUUUUUUUCAUUACAGUGUAGUGUACAGUGUGCCUGUGAAGGUGUAUUUCUGUAUAAUGCAUUGAUGGUAGUGGGGCUGUGAAUAUGUGUUUCUGUUGGGUGCAUUGAUUGCAAUGGGCAUGUGAAUGUGUAUUUCUGAAAAAGUACAGUAUGAAGGGGGAAUAUGAAUGUGUGUUUCUUUAGAGUACAAGAUACCAGUGGACAUGUAAAUGUGUGUUUCUAUAAAGGUCAAGAUUGCACUGGGCAUGUGAGUGUGUGUAGAGUACAGUAUGCAGUGGUUAUGUGAAGGUGUGUUUGUAUACAGUGUAUUAUGUAGUGGGCAUGGUAAUGUGUGUUUAUGUAGAGUUCAAGACAGCUGUGGGCAUGUGAAUGUGUAUUUCUGUUGAGUGCAGGAUAGUAGCUGGCAUUUGUAUGUGUGUUUCUGUAGAGUGUAGCAUAGUAGUGUGCCUGCGAAUGUGUGUUACUGUAAAGUGCAGCCAUGGCAUUUGGCAUGUGUAUGUGUGUUUCUUUAGAAGGCAGAUUUGGAGCGCAGUCACCAUGUGAAUGUGUGUUUCUGUAGAAUGUGGUAUGCAGUGGGAAUGUGAAUUUGUUUUUCUGUAAAUUGCAGAACAUCUAUGAGUAUGUGAAUGUGUGUUUCCGUAUCGUACAGUGCUGGAAAUAGGCAUUUGAAUGUGUGUUUCUGUAGAGUGCACUAGGUAGGGGGCAUGUGUUUGUGUGUUCCUUUUGAGUGCAGUAUAGCCGUGGACAUCGGAAUUUAUGUUUCUGUAGAGUAUAUUAUGGCAGUGGAAAUAUUAAUGUGUGGCUCUGAAGUGUGUGGUAAAGGCAGUGGACAUGUGAAUGUGUGUUUGUGUGCAGUGCAGGAUAGCAGUGGGCAUGGGAAUGUGUGUUUAUAGAGUAUCAGAUAAGAGUAAUUUUGUGAAUGUGUUUUAAUGUCCAGUGCAAGAUAGCAGUGGGCAUGUGAGUUUUUAUGUCUGUAGAAUGUACUGUUGAUGUUGUAAAAAAUGUGUUUAUGUAGAGUGCAGGAUGGCAGGGACAAAUUGAAUAUGUUCUUCUGUUGAGUGGAAUAUGCAGUGGGCCUGGAAAUAUUUGUUUCUGUAGAGUGCAUUGAUGGCAGCAUGUAUGUGAAUGUGUGUUUCUGUAGAGUGAAGUAUGCAGUUGGAAUGUAAAUGUGUGUUUCUGUAAAGUACAUUUACAAUGGGCAUGUAAAUAUGUUUUUCUUAAGAGUGCUGGAUAGCAAUUGACAUGGGAAUAUGUAUUUCUCUAGAGUGUGGAAUAGAGUUUAGCAUGUGAAUGUUUGUAUCUUUGGAGUGCAGCAACUAGUGGGCAUGAGAAAGGGUGUUUUUGUAGAGUGCAGGAUAGCAUGGAAAAUGGGACAGUUUAUUUACGUAGAAUGCAGUGAUUGCAAUGGGAAUGUGACUAUUUGUUUCUGUAAAGUGCAGCACAGCAGUGGGCAUUGAAAUGUGUGUUCCUGUAGAGUGUAGUAUAGCAAUGGGUAUGUGAAUGUGUGUUACUGUAGAGUGUAGUAUCCAGUGAUAAUGUGAAUAUGUUUUUCUUUAGAGAAAAGCACAGAUGUGGGCAUGUGAUUGGAAGUUACUGUAGAAUGCAGUGAUGGUAGUGGGUAUGUAAAUGUGUGUUUCUGUUGAGUCCAGGAUAGCAGUUGGCAUAGGAACUUGUGUUUCUGUAGAGGGCAGUACUUAUUGAGCAUGUGAUCAUGUGUUUCUGUAGAGUGUGGAAAUGUGUAUUCAAUGGACAUCUGAAUGUUUGUUUCUAUGCAGUGCAGUAGGCACUGGCAUGUGAACAUAUGUUUCUGUCAAAUUCAGCAUAGCAGUAGGCACGAGUAGAGUGCAAGCUGAUAGUGGCCAUAUGAAUGUAUGUUUCUGUAGAAGGCAGUGUAGGACCAGGCAUAUGUGUAUAUGGGACUGAAGAGUGAAGUAUGCAAUGGGCAUAUGAAUGUUUCUGUAGAAUGCAGGGGAGCAAUAGACAUGGGAAAGUGUGUUUAUGUAGACUGAAAGAUAACAGUGUGCAUGUGAUUAUGUGCUUCUGAAGACUGCAGUGAUGGCAGUAGACAUGUGAAUAUUUUUGUGUGUAGAGUGCAGGAAAGCUGUGGGCAUGUGAAUAUAUGUUUCUUUAGAAUGAGGUGAUGGCAGUUGGCAUUUGAAUGUAUAUUUCUACAAAGUGCACUACAUAGUCGGCAUGUGAACUGUGCUUGUGAAGAGUGAAGUAGGCAGUAGGAGUGUGAAUGUGUAUCUCUGCAGAGUGCAGGACAGCAGUGGGAAUAGGAAUGUGUGUCUGUAGAGUGCAGGACAGCAGUGGGCAUUGGAAUGUGUGCAUCUGUAGAGUGAAGUAUCCAGUGGGCCUGUGAAUGUGUAUUUCUGUUGAGUGCGUUGAUGGCAGUGGGCAUGUGAAUAUGUGAUUCUUUUGAGUGCAUUGAUUGCACCAGUCAUGUGAAUGAAUGUUUCUGUAGAGUGCAGUAUGCAGUGGUCAUGGAAGUGUGUGUCUGUAAAAUGUACAUUUGCAGUGGGCAUGUGAAUAUGUGUUUCUUUAGAAUGAAGAAGAGCAGUGGACAUGUGAAUUUGUGUUUCAGUACACAAUGUGCCUGUAAAUGUGUGAUUGUGAGGAGUGCACUCUUGGCAGAAGGCAAGUGAGUGUGUGUCUCUGUAGAGUACACCAUGCAGGGGACAUGGAAAUGAAUAUUUCUGUAGAAUGCAGGAUAACAGUGGGCAUGUGAGUGUUUGUUACUGUAGAGUGCAGGUUGGCAAUGGCCAUAUGAAUGUGGAUUUCUGCAGAGGGCAGUGUGUCACUGGGCAUGUGAGUAUAUGUGACUGUACUGUGAAGUAUGCAAUGGACAUAUGAAUGUGUGCUUCUAUAGAGUGCAUGAGAGCAAUGAGAAUGAGAAAGUGUAUUUCUGCAGAGUGAAAGAUAUCAGUGGGCAUGUGAAUAUGUGUUUCUGUAGAGUGCAGGGAUGGCAGUGUGCAUGUGAAUGUGUUUUUGUGUAGAAUGAAGGACACUUGUGGGGAUGUGAAUGUGUGUUUCUGUAUAAUGCAGUGAUGGCAGUGGGCAUUUGAAUGGAUAUUUCUAUAGAGUGCACUAUAUAAUCAGCAUGUGAACUGUGUUUGUUAGAGUGCCAUAGGUGGUGUGAAUGUGAAUGUGUAUUUCUGUAGAGUAUAGGACAGCAGUGGACAAUGGAAUGUGUGUUCCCGUAGACUAGUAUAGCAAUAGGCCUAUGAUUUUUGUUAUUGUAGAGUGCAGUGAUGGCAAUGGGCAUGUGAUUUUGUGUCUGUGAAUUGAAGGAUCACAGUGGCGAUGUGAAUGUGUUUUUCUUUUGAGACAGGAACAGAUAUGGGCAUGUGAAUCUGUGUUAAUGUAGAGUGCAGUGAUGGGAGUGGGCAUGUGAAUGUGUGUUUCUCUAGAGUGCAGUAUAGGAGUAGACAUGUGAAGUUGAGUUUCUGUACAGUUAAGUAUGCAAUGUGCCUGUAAAUGUGUAUUAUGAGGAGAGCAGUCUUGGCAGUGAACAUGUGAAUGUGUGUUUCUCUAGAGUUCAGUUUACAGUGGACAUGGGAAUGAGUAUUUCUAUAGAGUUCAGUAUAACAGUGGUCAUUUGAGUGUUUCUGUAGAGGUCAGAUUGGCAAUGGUCAUUUGAAUAGGUGUUUCUGUAGAUGGCAGAUCUUCACUGGGCAUGUGGGUAUAUGUGACUGUAGAGUGAACCAUGCAACAGGCAUAUGAAUGUAUGUUUCUGUAGAGUGCAGAAGAUCAGUGGGCAGGGGACACUGUGAUUCUGUAUACUGAAAGAUCACAGUGGCCAUGUGAAUAUGUCUUUCUGUAGAGUGCAGUGAUGGCAGAAGUCAUGGGAAUGUGUUUUUGUGUAGAGUGCAGGAACGAAGAGGCAAUGUGAAUACAUGUUUCUGUGGUGUGCAAUAAGCAGUAUGACUGUGAAUGUGUUUUUGUGUAGAAUGCAGGACAGCUUUGGGUAUGUGAAUCUGUAUUUCUUUGUAGUGCAGUGAUGGCAGUGGGUAUUUGAAUGCAUGUUUCUAUAGAGUGCACUAAGUAGUGGGCAUGCGAACUGUGAUUGUAUAGAGUGCAGUAGGCAGGAGAAAUGUGAAUGUGUAUUUCUAUAGAGUGCAUUGCAGCAGUGCACAUUGCAAUGUUUGUUCUUGUAGAGUGAAAUAUAGCAAUAGGCCUGUGAAUAUGCAUUGCUGUAGAGUGCAGUGACGGCAGUGGGCACGGUAAUGAGUGUUUCUUUUGAGAGUAUUGAUGGUAUGUGAAUCUGAAUAUGUGUUUCUAGCAGUGAAGUAUGCAGUGGAUAUGUAAAUGUUAUUGAUGUAGAAUGAAGGAUAGCGGUGGGCAUGCGAAUGUGUGUUUGUGUAGAAUGCAGGACAUCAGUGGGCAUGGGAAUGUGUGUUUGUAAAGUGUAGGAUAGAAGUCGGUAUGUGAAUGUCUGUUUCUGUAGAGUGCAGUUAUGGCUGUGGCCAUGUGAGUAUGUGUUUGUGUACAAUGUCAGAUGGUUGUUGGCAUGUACAAGUGUGUUUCUGUAGAGUGCAGGAUAGCAGUGGGCAUGAUAAUGUGUGUUUCUAUAGAGUGCAGUGAUGGCAGUGGUCAUGGUAAAACGUGUAUUUCUGUAUAGCGUAAAAUAGGAGUAUGCAUAUGAAUGUGUGUUUCUGUAGAUAACAUCAAUGGAAAUGGGCAUGUGAAUGUGUGCUACUGUAGAGUGCAGAAAGUCAGUGGUCAUUUAAAUGUGUAUAUCUAUAGAGUUCAGGGUGCCAUGGGCAUUGCAAUGUGUGUAUCUGCAGAAUACAAGACAGCAGUGGCCUGUGAAUGUGUGUUUCUGCAAAGUGCAGUAUGGAGUGUCUGUGAAUAUGUGCUUCUAUAGUGUACAGUGAUUAUAGUGGGCAUGUGACUACGGUUUUUUGAAGAGUGAAGGAAAGCUAUGGACAUGUGAAUAUGUGUUUCUUUGAAGUGAGGUGACUGCAGUUGGCAUUUGAAUGUAUAUUUCUAUAAAGUGUCCUAUAUAGUGGCCAUGUGAUGGAGUGUUUGUUUAGAGUGUGUUAGGCAUUGGGAAUGUGAAUAUGUGUUCCUGUAGAUUGGGAAAGUGCAGUGGAAAUGUGAAUGUGUACCUGUAGAGUGCUGGACAGCAGUGGGCAUUGGAAUGUGUGUUUCUCUAGAGUGAAAUAUAUUAAUAUGCCUGUGAAUGUGAAUUACUGUGUAGUACAGUCAUGGCAGUGGGCAUGGUAAUGUGUUUUUUUUGAGGGCAUUGAUGACAGAGACAUGUGAAUGUGUGUUUCUAUGAAGUGCAUCAUUCAGUGGGUAUGUGAAUGUGGGUUUCUGUAGAGUGCAGGAUGGCAGUGGGCAUGAGAAUGUCCAUUUGUGUAGAGUGCAGGACAUCAGUGGGCAUGGGAAUGUGUGUGUGUUUGUGUGUUUAGUAGAUAUUUUCUUUAUUUACAUUUCAAAUGUUAUCCUCUUUCCUCAUUUCCCCUCCGAAAACACAAUAUCUCCUCCCCCUCCCCAUGCUCACAAACCCACCCACUGCUGCUUACUGGCCCUGGCAUUCCACUACACUGGGGCAUAGAGCCUUCACAGGACCAAGGGCCUCUCCUCCCGUAGAUAAUUGACAAGGUCAUCCUCUGCUGCAUAUACAGCUGGAGCCAUUGGUCCCUCCGUGUAUACUCUUUGGUUGGUAGUUUAAUUCCUGGGAGAUCUUAGAGUACUGGUCGGUGGGAAUGUAUGUCUUUAAAGUGUACAUUAGAAGUACAUAAGGGAAUGUGUCUUUUUGUAGAGUGCAAUGAUGUCUUUAAGCAUGUGAGUAUGUGUUUCUGUACAGUGCUGGAUGGGUGUUGGCAUGUACAAGUGUGUUUCUGUAGAGUGCAGGAUAGCAGUGGGCAUGUGAAUGUAUGCUUCUCGAGAGUGAAGGAUGACAGUGGACAUGUGAAUGUGUGUUUCUACAGGGGGUGGCACAGCAGUUAGCAUGGAAAUAUGCGUCUGUAGAGUGCAGGACAGCACUGGGCUUGGAAUGUGUGUACAUGUAGCAUGAAAUAGGUAAUGGGCCUGUGAAAUAUGUAUUUCUGUAGAGUGUAUUGAUGGCAGUGAGGUGUGAAUAUGUGUUUCUUUUGAGUGCAUUGAUGGCACCAGGCAUGUAAAUGAGUAUUUCUCUAUAGUGUCCAGAAUGCAGUAGCCAUGUAAAUGUGUUUUUCUGUAAAAUACAUUUGCAAUGAGCAUGUGAAUAUGUGUUUUUGUAGAGUAUAGUAUGCAGUGUACAUGUGACUGAGUGUUUCCUUAGAGUGCAGGCUAAAAGUGGGCAUGUGAGUGUCUGCUUCUGUACAGUGCAGGUUGGCAGUGGCCAUAUAAAUGUGUGUUUCUAUAGAAAGCAAUGUGGCACUGGGCAUGUAAGUAUAUAUGUGACUGUAGAAUGUAUGAAAUGGGCAUAUGAAUGUGUGUUUCUGUAGAUUGCAGGAGAGCAGUGGGCAGAUGAAUAUGUGUUUCUGUAGAGUAGAGUAUGCAGUAUGAAUGUUAAUGUGUUUUUUUUUUUUUUUUGUAGAAUUCAGGACAGCUGUGGGGUUGUGAAUAUUUGUUUAUAGUGCAGUGAUAGUAGUGGGCAUUGGAAUGUAUAUUUCUAUACAGUGCUUUAUAUAGUGGGCAUGUGAACUCUGUGUGGAAUGCAGUAGGCAGUGAGAAUGUGAAUGCUGUUUCUAUAUAGUGCAGCAAAGCAGUGGGCAUUAGAAUAUGUUUUCCUGUAGAGUGAAAUACAGCAAUGGGCCUGUGAAUGUGUGCUACUGUAGAGUACAGUGAUGGCAGUAGACAAGGUAAUGUGUUCAUUUUAAGGGCAUUGAAAGCAGCAGCAUGUGAAUGUGUGUUUCUAUGUAGUGCAAUAUGCAGUGGGUAUGUGAAUGUGUGUUUCUGUAGAAUGCAAAAUGGCAGUGGCAAUGUGAAUGUGUGUUUCUGUAGUGUGGGGAACAACAGUGGAAUGGGAAUGUAUGUCUGUACAAUUCAGGAAAGCAGUGAAAUUGGAUUGUGUGUAUCUGUAAAGUAUGCAGUGGGCCUGUGAAUGUGUAUUACUGUAUGAGUACAUUGACAGCAAUGAGCAUCUGAAUAUGUAUUUAUGUUAAGUGCUCUGAUGACAGCAGGCAUGUGUAUGUGUGUUUCUGUAGAAUACAGUGGAAAUGAGAACAAGUAUAUCUGUAGAGUUCAGGAUAACAGUGCGCACAUGACUAUUUCUAUGGAGUGUAAGUUGGCAGUGGGCAUAUGAAGGUGUGUUUCUGUGGAGGGCAGUGUGGCACUGGAAAUGUGUGUAAAUGUCACUGUAGUGUGAAGUAUGCAAUGGGCAUAUGAAUAUGCAUUUCUGUAGAGAGCAGGAUGGCUUUGGGAACGUGAAUGUGUGUUUCUGUAGAGUGCAGGAAAUCAGGUGGCAUGGAAAUGUGUAUUUGUUGAGUGUAGGAUAGUAGUAAGUAAGUGAAUAUGUGUUUCUGUAGCGUGUAAAGAUAGAAGUGGCCAUAUAAAUGUGUGCUUCUCUAAAGUAUAGGAUAGCAGUGAACAUGUGAAAGUGUGAUUCUGUGGAGUGCAGUACUUAUUGUGCAUGUGAUCGUGUGUUUCUGUAGAGUACAGUAUAGAGUGGCAAGUGAAUGUGUGUUUCAGUAGAGAGCAGGACAACAAUGGGUAAGUCAAUGUGUGGUUUUGUAGAGAGAAGGAUGGCAGUGUGCAUGUGAACACGUGUUUCUGUAGAGGUCAGUGAUCACAGUGUAUAUGUGAAUGCGUUUCAUUAGAGUGUAAAGUAGCAGUGGGCAUGUGAAUGUUUGAUUCUAUGCAGUGCAGGGUGCAGUGUGCCUGUGAAUGUUUCUCAGGAAUGCAAUUUUGGCAGUGGUCAUGUGAAACUGUAUUUCUUUUGAGUUUAUUGAUGGCAGUGGGCAAGUGAAUGUGUGUUUCUGUUGAGUACAGUAUUCAGUGAACAUGUGAAUGUGUGUUUCUAUGCAGUGUUCUUUACAGUAGGCAUGUGAAUGUAUGAUUUUAUAGAGAUCAGGAUAACAAUGGGCAUGUGAAUUGUGUUUUUGUAUAGUGCAGGAUGGCAGUGUGCAUGUGAAUAUGUGUUUCUGUAGAGUGUAGUGAUUACAGUGGGCAUGUGAAUAUGUUUUUCAUUAGAGUGCAGGAUAGCAGUGGGCAUGUGAAUAUGUGAUUCUGUAAAGUGCAGUAUGCAUUGUGCCUGUGAGUGUGUGUUUCUGAGGAGUGCACUUUUGGCAGUGGGCACGUGAAUAUGUGCUUCUUUUUAGCACAUUGAUGUAAGCAGGCAUGUGAAUGAGUGAUUCUGUAGAGUGCAGUGAUGGCAGUGGGCAUGGGCUCAUGUGUUUCUGUAGAAUGUAAGAUAGUAGUGGGCAUGUGAAUGUGUUUUUGUAGAGUUUAGAUAUUCAAGUGGGCAUGGUAAAAUAUGUAUUUCUGUGUAGUGUAUGAAAGCAGUGGGCAUGGGAAUGUGUGUUUCUGUAGAGUACAGUGUGAGUGGAGGUGCCUACAGAGACCAUCAUGUAUUUUGUAGUUACACAUUUUACAGAGUUCAGAUGUGAGAAAUGUGCCUGUGAGUGUUUUUCCUGGGGAGUAGAAAUGGGCACAGUAGGCAUGUGGGUCCUGAUCCCUACUGAUGCCACAACUUGGCAGUGUACUUGUGAGUCCAUGUAACCCCAGAGCAGAGUUCAGCUUGGAACUCUGAGUGUAUGUGCCUGCAGUUUCAUGGUGGUGAGUAAGUGGCUUCAGUUGCACAAGGCCCAGUUCUUGAUAAACAUGUGAGAUAAGAUGCCUGCUGACAGAGGACAUAGGUGGGCAUUGGACAUGUGAGUGUGGGUGCUGGUAGAGAAAAAUGGAUGCUAUGGAUAUGGGACUGCAGUCACAUAUCAAUUCUUGAGCUGGGUUGUCGACAUGUUACUGCAGAUUCCUUCACAGGCCAGACAGUCAUUGGUUUGUGAGUACAGGUGUCUCUAGAGUACAGAGAGGUGCAGUGGGAGACUUCAUGCAGGGGUAUGCAGAGAUCAGAGGGAACUGAGCAUGUGAGUGCAAGUGCUAUAGAGACCAGCAAAGGGCUGUGUGUGUAGGCAUGUAGUUGCCUGUAGAAUCCAGGGAAGAGCUGUAGGUACGUGAGUGCAGGUGCAUGCAGAGGAAAGAGAAGGCAAGUGGACCUGGAGCCCAGGUGCCUGCAGAGGGCAAGUGUGACUGGAAAUGGGUAUAGAAAUACCUGCAGAGAACAGAGAGGUCAGCAUGUGAGUUCAUGUUCCUCCUGAGGACAGGAUUGCAGUUUACCCAUGAGUGUAUAUGUCUCCAAAGUUCAGAAGGGGGAUUUUGGCUUGUGAAUGCAGGUGCCUACAGAAGCAAGGGAAGGGAAGUGUGCAUUUGAGUGCAGGACCCUUCUGAGGGCUAAGUUAAGCAGUAGGUAUUUGAGGUUCCAUGCCUGAAGAUGCCAUGAAUGCAGUGGGCAUGUGAGGACAGGUGCUAGCAGACACCAUGAGGACAAUGGCCUUGUGAGCAUAGUGAAGGGCCAUGACCAGAGGUGGGCAGUAGACAUGUUUGUUCAGAUUCAUACAGAAGCCAAGUAGUCACUGUGUAUAUGAAUGUUGUGUAUGGAGUGCCAGAAAGGUGUAAUUGGCAGGGGAGGCUGGGUAAGUGCAGGGGCAUAGGUCAUGUUGUUCAUGUACCUGCAGAGGCCAGAAUGGACUGGUUGCCAUGAGUAACCCAGUGCCGGGAGAAUGCAAGGUUUCAGUUGACGUUAAGGUGCAGAUUCCUGCAGAGUACAGGAUUCCCAUAUCACAAACAUGCCAGCAGAGUCCAGACAAGGCAGUGGGCCUGUGAGUUCAUGUUCAUGGAGAAGGAACAGAGAUGCAGUGGUAACAUGGGUGUGUGUACCUGCAGAGGCCACAGAGUAUCAGAGAGCAUGUGAGUGCAGUGCCCUGCAGAAUCCAGGCUGGCAGUGUGCCUGUGAAUGCAGUUGCCUGCACAACAGGAAGGGUUUGGUGAGUACGUAAGUGUAAGUGCCUGAAGAUGCCAGUGGAGGGCACUGUGUGUUUUGAGUCCAACUAUCUGCAGAGAGGAGAAUAGAGCAGUUUGCAUAUCAUUGUGGGUCCUGCAGAAGUCAGAUCGCUACUGUGUGCUGUGAAUGCAUGAGACUGCAGAAGACAAAUGAUGGGCAGUAGGCAUGUGUGUGCAGGUGUCAGGAGGCCAGUGUCAUGUGAGUGCAGCUAAGCACCAAGAUCAGAUGUGGGUAGUAGACAUGCAGUUCAUGCAGAUCCCUGUCCAAGACAGGCAGUCAUUGGAAUGUGAACACUUGUGGAAAAGCCAGAGAAGGGCAGUGGGUAGGUAACAGAUUGCAGAGCCAUGGGUGUCAGUGAGCGUGACUAUAUGUGCCUGCAGAGGUGGGCAGGGCAGUGGGCAUGUGAAUGCUGUUGACUGUUACAGAACCUGGCAAUAGGCAUGGGAUUAUAGAAGCCUACAGAAGCCAGAAAGAGGCAAGGAGCACUUGUUUGCAAGUGCCUGCAGGGGACAGAGAAGGGCAGUGGAUCUGUGAGUAAAAGCCCCUGCAGUGGCCUGAGUGUGGCAUUGGGUACUUCAAUACAGGUGUCUGGGGAAGAUGGUUGGGGACAGUAGGCAUGAGAAUCGUGCUUCAUGCAGAGAGGCCAGGGUGGUUAGUGGCCACAUGUACUCAGGUGCCUUUCAUAGGCCAGGCAUGUGUUGUCAGUGUGAAUAGAGAUGCAUGUAGAUGCCCGAGAUGCAAUGGACAUGUGAGUGCAGGUGUCUGCAGAUGUGAUAACUGGAAGGUUUCACUCUGAGUGCAGGUGCUUACAGAGGCAACAGAGAAGAAUUGGACAUGGGACAACAGUUGCCUGCUAAGGACACAGGUGCAAUGGGUUAUUUGGGUGCAGGUGAGCAGAGAUGCACAGUGGCCAUAGGAGUGCAGGGAGUAGAGAGCAGAGCUGGGCCGUGGACAUGGCAGUUACGAUCCAUGGAGAGAGUAGUGUCUUGCAGCCUCUAUGUAUGCACAGGUGGCUGCAGAGAUUGAGUGAAGUAGACAAGUGAAUUCAGAAACCUGAAGAGAGCAGAGUGAGAAAUUGUUCAGGAGAAUGCAGGUUCUCUCAGAGGGAAACAAAGUGCUAUGAAUAUGUGAGUGCAGCUUUGCACAGAGGCCAUUGUGCCUGUGAGUUCAUGUUCCUGCUGAGGACAGAUUGCAAUGGAGAAAAAAGUGUAGGUGCCUGCUGAUGUCUCGAGUUGAGGAUUAACCUGUUAGUGCAGGUGACUGCAGGGGCCAGGGAAGGGACCUGGGCAAAUAAGUGCAGUAGCCUUCAGAAGACUUGGUUAUGUGGGGACAUUGGGCUAAACACAGACAAGUUGGUCUCCAGUUGAGUUGAGGUCUGAACUCUAGUAGAACCUGAUGGGUGGAAAUUCCCACCUACAUGGGACAGAAGGCGUUCCCUUAUGUCUUCUGGCCCCCUGGCUCCUGUUGAAGUUACCACCCCCACAUUCCCCACAAGAGAGGAUAGUGGCUAGCAGUCAUGUACACAAUGUCCCAAGCUUCUGACCUUCAGGCUAGACUUCUCCCAGUUACCUAGCAACAACAAGAUAACAAGUCCACUAUAAGAGGGGCUGCUUGGCCCACUCCUCACUCUCUUAAGCUUUUACUUUCUUUACUCUCCCUCUUACUCUCUCUCUCUUACUCUUUUAAGCUUUUACUUUCUUUAGUCUCUCUCUAAGCCCUCUCUCUCUCUAAGCCUUCACUUUUCUUACACUCUAACUCUCUUUCUCUCUUUCCUUUCCCCCUUCUCUCCUGUUGGC
rnacentral:lncRNA from 1 species